rnacentral:rRNA from 1 species
UACGUAGGGUGCAAGCGUUGUCCGGAAUUAUUGGGCGUAAAGAGCUCGUAGGCGGUUUGUUGCGUCGGCUGUGAAAUCCCGAGGCUCAACCUCGGGUCUGCAGUCGAUACGAGCAAACUAGAGUGUUGCAGGGGAGACUGGAAUUCCUGGUGUAGCGGUGAAAUGCGCAGAUAUCAGGAGGAACACCGGGUGGCGAAGGCGGGGUCUCUGGGGCAACAACUGACGCUGAGGAGCGAAAGCGUGGGGGAGCGAACAGG